AGAGUUUGAUCCUGGCUCAGGACGAACGCUGGCGGCGUGCUUAACACAUGCAAGUCGAACGAAGAGCGAUGGAAGCUUGCUUCUAUCAAUCUUAGUGGCGAACGGGUGAGUAACGCGUAAUCAACCUGCCCUUCAGAGGGGGACAACAGUUGGAAACGACUGCUAAUACCGCAUACGAUCUAACCUCGGCAUCGAGGAUAGAUGAAAGGUGGCCUCUACAUGUAAGCUAUCACUGAAGGAGGGGAUUGCGUCUGAUUAGCUAGUUGGAGGGGUAACGGCCCACCAAGGCGAUGAUCAGUAGCCGGUCUGAGAGGAUGAACGGCCACAUUGGGACUGAGACACGGCCCAGACUCCUACGGGAGGCAGCAGUGGGGAAUCUUCCGCAAUGGACGAAAGUCUGACGGAGCAACGCCGCGUGAGUGAUGACGGCCUUCGGGUUGUAAAGCUCUGUUAAUCGGGACGAAAGGCCUUCUUGCGAAUAGUGAGAAGGAUUGACGGUACCGGAAUAGAAAGCCACGGCUAACUACGUGCCAGCAGCCGCGGUAAUACGUAGGUGGCAAGCGUUGUCCGGAAUUAUUGGGCGUAAAGCGCGCGCAGGCGGAUAGGUCAGUCUGUCUUAAAAGUUCGGGGCUUAACCCCGUGAUGGGAUGGAAACUGCCAAUCUAGAGUAUCGGAGAGGAAAGUGGAAUUCCUAGUGUAGCGGUGAAAUGCGUAGAUAUUAGGAAGAACACCAGUGGCGAAGGCGACUUUCUGGACGAAAACUGACGCUGAGGCGCGAAAGCCAGGGGAGCGAACGGGAUUAGAUACCCCGGUAGUCCUGGCCGUAAACGAUGGGUACUAGGUGUAGGAGGUAUCGACCCCUUCUGUGCCGGAGUUAACGCAAUAAGUACCCCGCCUGGGGAGUACGACCGCAAGGUUGAAACUCAAAGGAAUUGACGGGGGCCCGCACAAGCGGUGGAGUAUGUGGUUUAAUUCGAAGCAACGCGAAGAACCUUACCAGGCCUUGACAUGGAAACAAAUACCCUAGAGAUAGGGGGAUAAUUAUGGAUCACACAGGUGGUGCAUGGUUGUCGUCAGCUCGUGUCGUGAGAUGUUGGGUUAAGUCCCGCAACGAGCGCAACCCUUGCCUUUAGUUGCCAUCAUUAAGUUGGGCACUCUAGAGGGACUGCCAGGGAUAACCUGGAGGAAGGUGGGGAUGACGUCAAAUCAUCAUGCCCCUUAUGAGCAGGGCUACACACGUGCUACAAUGGCGUAAACAAAGGGAGGCAGAACCGCGAGGUCGAGCAAAUCCCAAAAAUAACGUCUCAGUUCGGAUUGUAGUCUGCAACUCGACUACAUGAAGCUGGAAUCGCUAGUAAUCGCGAAUCAGAAUGUCGCGGUGAAUACGUUCCCGGGUCUUGUACACACCGCCCGUCACACCAUGGGAGUCAGUAACGCCCGAAGUCAGUGACCCAACCGUAAGGAGGGAGCUGCCGAAGGUGGGACCGAUAACUGGGGUGAAGUCGUAACAAGGUAGCCGUAUCGGAAGGUGCGGCUG
rnacentral:rRNA from 1 species